rnacentral:rRNA from 1 species
UAGAGUUUGAUCCUGGCUCAGGAUGAACGCUAGCGGCAGGCUUAACACAUGCAAGUCGAGGGGCAUCGGGAGGGAAGCUUGCUUUCCUUGCCGGCGACCGGCGCACGGGUGAGUAACACGUAUGCAACCUGCCCUCUUCAGGGGGACAACCUUCCGAAAGGGAGGCUAAUCCCGCGUAUAUCGGUUUCGGGCAUCCGAGAUCGAGGAAAGAUUCAUCGGAAGAGGAUGGGCAUGCGGCGCAUUAGCUUGACGGCGGGGUAACGGCCCACCGUGGCGACGAUGCGUAGGGGUUCUGAGAGGAAGGUCCCCCACACUGGUACUGAGACACGGACCAGACUCCUACGGGAGGCAGCAGUGAGGAAUAUUGGUCAAUGGGAGAGAUCCUGAACCAGCCAAGCCGCGUGAGGGAAGACGGCCCUAUGGGUUGUAAACCUCUUUUGUCGGAGAACAAAACCCGGGACGUGUCCCGGACUGCGUGUAUCCGAAGAAAAAGCAUCGGCUAACUCCGUGCCAGCAGCCGCGGUAAUACGGAGGAUGCGAGCGUUAUCCGGAUUUAUUGGGUUUAAAGGGUGCGUAGGCGGUCCGUUAAGUCAGCGGUAAAAUUGCGGGGCUCAACCCCGUUGAGCCGUUGAAACUGGCAGACUUGAGUUGGCGAGAAGUACGCGGAAUGCGCGGUGUAGCGGUGAAAUGCAUAGAUAUCGCGCAGAACUCCGAUUGCGAAGGCAGCGUACCGGCGCCACACUGACGCUGAGGCACGAAAGCGUGGGGAUCGAACAGGAUUAGAUACCCUGGUA